UCAUGGGACAAUGGUGGCACCUCCUAGACACAUGUGGGACCAUGGUGGCACCAUCCAGAUGGACAUGGGACAAUGGUGACACCAUCCAGACACACAUGGGACCAUGGUGGCACCAUCCACGUGGACAUGGAUGGGUGGUGGCACCAUCUACAUGUCCCUAGGACAAUGGUGGCACCAUCUGGACUCAUGGGGGAUGGUGGUGGCACCAUCUAGAAGGAUAGGGGACAAUGGUGACACCACCCAAACACAUGUGGGAUGGUGGUGACACCAUCCAGAUGGACGUGGUAGGGUGGUGGCACCAUCUACACGUCCAAAAAAUGGUGGUGGCAUCAACUAGACGUUCAUGGGACAAUGGUGACACCACCCGAAGACACGUGGGACAAUGGUGACACCAUCCAGAGGGACGUGGGAUGGUGGUGGCACCAUCUAGAAGGACAGGGGACAAUGGUGGCACCGUUGGGAUGGGUGGGACGAUGGUGGCACCACCCGGACUCGCGUCCGAUGGCCGUGGUGCCACCCCCUUGGGGACAUGGGGCUGUCACCCCGUAGAGCCAUGGUGGUCCCCAAAUGUUCUCCAUCCCCCUGAUGUCCCCAUGGGGGUGACAGCGACAAGACCUCCUCCACCCCAAAAUGUCCCCAAUGUUGACCUACCAGAACCUUCUUGGUUCUUCUUGAUGGUCUCAUGGACCACCACAACCAUGUCCCCACACCUCCUUCACCCCAAAACGUCCCCAACAUUGACCUACCAGAACCUUCUCGAGAUCCUCCUACACCACCAUGACCAUAACCACGUCCCCAAGCCCCCUCCACCCCAAAAUGUCCCCAACGUUGACCUACCAGAACCUUCCUGAGGUCCUCCUAGACCACCAUUGACCACGUCCCCCCCCCUCCUCCAACCCCAAGCCCCCCUCCACCCCAAAAUGUCCCCAAUGUUGACCUACCAGAACCUUCUUGAGGUCCUUCUGGACCACCAAGACCAUGACCAUGUCCCCAAGACCUCCUCCACCCCAAAAUGUCCCCAAGUUGACGUCCCAGAACCUACUCCAGGUCCUCCUUGACCACCAUGACCAUAACCACGUCCCCAAGCCCCCUCCACCCCAAAAUGUCCCCAACAUUGACCUACCAGGGCCCUCUUGGUUCUUCUUGGUGGUCUCAUGGACCACCAUGACCUUGCCCCCAUACGUUCUCCAACCCUAAGAUGUUCUCCACCCCAAAAUGUCCCCAACGUUGACAUCUCAGACCCUUCUUGAGAUCCUCCUGGACCACCACAACCAUAACCACGUCCCCAAGCCCCCCUCCACCCCAAAACGUCCCCAACGUUGAC
rnacentral:lncRNA from 1 species